UACAGAGGUCCCAAGCAUUGUUCGGAUUCACUGGGCGUAAAGGGUGCGUAGGCGGUUGGGUAAGUCUGUCGUGAAAUCUCCGAGCCUAACUCGGAAACUGCGUCGGAUACUAUUCAACUCGAGGAAUGGAGGGGAGACUGGAAUUCUCGGUGUAGCAGUGAAAUGCGUAGAUAUCGAGAGGAACACCAGUGGCGAAGGCGAGUCUCUGGACAUUUCCUGACGCUGAGGCACGAAAGCCAGGGGAGCAAACGGG
rnacentral:rRNA from 1 species